rnacentral:rRNA from 1 species
UGUAAAAUUUUAAAGGUCGAACAGACCUAAUAUUUUAGCUUCUACACCAAAAAUUAAUUUUAAUCCAACAUCGAGGUCGCAAUCUUUUUUUUUAAUAUGAACUCUUUAAAAAAAUUACGCUGUUAUCCCUAAGGUAAUUAUAUCUUAUAAUCAAAAAUAUUGGRUCAUUUAUUCAUAAAUUUAUGUUAAAAAAUAAAAAAAGUUUAUUAAAUUUUUCAAUCACCCCAAUUAAAUUAUUAAAGAAAAUAUAUAAAUUAAUUCUAAAAUAUAAUUUUUAAUUAAUAAUAAAACUCUAUAGGGUCUUCUCGUCUUUUAAUUUUAAUUAAGCUUUUUAACUUAAAAAUAAAGUUAUAAUAAAAUUUAAUAGAGACAGUCAUUUUCUUAUCCAACCUUUCAUUCCAGUUUUUAAUUAAAAAACUAAUGAUUAUGCUACCUUAGCACGGUCAAAAUACCACGGCCAUUUAAAUUUUCAGUGGGCAGGCUAGACCUUAAAUUAUUAACAAAAGGAC